UCGGGAAUUUUGGGCAAUGGGCGAAAGCCUGACCCAGCAACGCCGCGUGCAGGAUGAAGCGGUUUCGCCGUGUAAACUGCUGUCAGGGGCAGGAAAAACUGAUCCGCCCCAAAGGAAGAGACGGCUAACCCUGUGCCAGCAGCCGCGGUAAUACAGGGGUCUCGAGCGUUAAUCGGAAUCACUGGGCUUAAAGGGUGCGUAGGCGGUGCGGUAAGUGCGGUGUGAAAUCCCACGGCUCAACCGUGGAAUUGCGCUACAUACUGCCGUGCUAGAGGGAGACAGGGGUAAGCGGAACUGAUGGUGGAGCGGUGAAAUGCGUUGAUAUCAUCAGGAACACCGGUGGCGAAAGCGGCUUACUGGGUCUCUUCUGACGCUGAGGCACGAAAGCUAGGGUAACGAACGGGAUUAGAUACCCCCGUAGUCCCUGAGCGGGCUGGCAAGGCGCAU
rnacentral:rRNA from 1 species